rnacentral:rRNA from 1 species
GCGAACGCUGGCGGCAGGCCUCACCCCUGCAAGUCGCACGAACUCUUCGGAGUUAGUGGCGGACGGGUGAGUAACACGUGGGAACGUGCCUUUUGGUUCGGAAUAACUCAGGGAAACUUGUGCUAAUACCGAAUGUGCCCUUCGGGGGAAAGAUUUAUCGCCAUUAGAGCGGCCCGCGUCUGAUUAGCUAGUUGGUGAGGUAACGGCUCACCAAGGCGACGAUCAGUAGCUGGUCUGAGAGGAUGACCAGCCACACUGGGACUGAGACACGGCCCAGACUCCUACGGGAGGCAGCAGUGGGGAAUCUUGCGCAAUGGGCGAAAGCCUGACGCAGCCAUGCCGCGUGAAUGAUGAAGGUCUUAGGAUUGUAAAAUUCUUUCACCGGGGACGAUAAUGACGGUACCCGGAGAAGAAGCCCCGGCUAACUUCGUG